rnacentral:lncRNA from 10 species
CCCAGUGUGGUCCAGGCCUGAUCAGUGCCCUUCUCCAAGCAGGGGCAGGCCUAGGGGCCAGCCUGAGUAUCAAGCCUCCCCUGCCUGCUUUCCCAGUUGAGGGCAUUUCAAACUAACUUUAAUUCAGGGCUCCAAAUAAACCCACAUCGAAAUUUGAGAAGAUGAACUCCCAUCCUCGCAUUUGCUUAUGGCCUCCUCAAGGGCCAGGAUUUGGGUCUGUUGUACUUGUGGUUAAAUCCCCAGACUGGGGCCUCACCCUUGGCAAUUCCUUUGGGUUGUCCUCCUAGGAUGAUCCUGUCUGGGCCCUGCCCUGAUUUUGCAGGAGGGAGAAGGUGCAGGCCCCUGGCAUAGGGAGGAGCCCUGAGCCAAUGGGCAUCUCAGGUCUCCCUCAUCACCACUGGCCCAUUCAACACAUGCACAGCAGGUAAACUGAGGCCAGUCAGGCUAUGGCUGUAUAGUGAGCCCGCACUUCAGACUCCUCAUUUAUUAAUUCUUGUAAUUAGCCCAGUAUCCCUAUGGCAUUUUUUUCUUGUUUUGUUUGAACCAUAUUGAGUUGUAGUUUUAAUAUAUGUUUCUGCCAUAGGUAUAUUUCAUGCAGACAUCCCAUUUCUCUGGGGGUGGGGCCCACGAUUUCCCCUUGAAGCUACCCUCCCUCCUGAGCUUCUACCCGCACUUGCACGCUGCUUAGGACCCAUGGACAGCCACUGCCCAUAGCCGUUCAUAGCUGCCACCAGUCUCCCAUCGGUGUAGGGGGGGCCCCUCCCCAGGGGUGACCUCUUGUGCUGGGGCUGGGACCACAGCAGAACAUUAGGAACCCUCCUAGGCUUCUGUGUAGACUCGCUGUCCACCCUCUCUAAAAACACGAGCAUUUCCAAGACCUGGGUUCAUAUCUUACCCAUUUUU